GAUAACACUUGGAAACAGGUGCUAAUACCGUAUAACAAUCAAAACCGCAUGGUUUUGAUUUGAAAGGCGCUUUCGGGUGUCGCUGAUGGAUGGACCCGCGGUGCAUUAGCUAGUUGGUGAGGUAACGGCUCACCAAGGCCACGAUGCAUAGCCGACCUGAGAGGGUGAUCGGCCACAUUGGGACUGAGACACGGCCCAAACUCCUACGGGAGGCAGCAGUAGGGAAUCUUCGGCAAUGGACGAAAGUCUGACCGAGCAACGCCGCGUGAGUGAAGAAGGUUUUCGGAUCGUAAAACUCUGUUGUUAGAGAAGAACAAGGAUGAGAGUAACUGUUCAUCCCUUGACGGUAUCUAACCAGAAAGCCACGGCUAACUACGUGCCAGCAGCCGCGGUAAUACGUAGGUGGCAAGCGUUGUCCGGAUUU
rnacentral:rRNA from 1 species